rnacentral:rRNA from 1 species
AUUGAACGCUGGCGGCAGGCCUAACACAUGCAAGUCGAGCGAGCGGCGGACGGGUGAGUAACGUCUGGGAAACAGCUAGAUGGAGGGGGAUACCUACUGGAAACGGUAGCUAAUACCGCAUACCAUCAGCUGAGCCCAGAUGGGAUGAGCUAGUGGGUGGGGUAAUGGCUCACCUAGGCGAAGAUCCAUAGCUGGUCUGAGAGGAUGAACAGCCACACUGGAACUGAGACACGGUCCAGACUCCUACGGGAGGCAGCAGUGGGGAAUAUUGCACAAUGGGCGAAAGCCUGAUGCAGCCAUGCCGCGUGUGUGAAGAAGGCCUUCGGGUUGUAAAGCACUUUCAGCGAGGAGGCGUUACUCGCAGAAGAAGCACCGGCUAACUCCGUGCCAGCAGCCGCGGUAAUUC